rnacentral:rRNA from 1 species
CGGACGGGUGAGUAACGCGUAGGAAUCUACCCUGGUAGUGGGGGGACAACUUGUGGAAACGCAAGCUAAUACCGCAUACGCCCUAAGGGGGAAAGCGGGGGAUCUUCGGACCUCGUGCUAUCGGAUGAGCCUGCGUAGGAUUAGCUAGUUGGUGAGGUAAAGGCUCACCAAGGCGACGAUCCUUAGCUAGUCUGAGAGGAUGAUCAGCCACACUGGGACUGAGACACGGCCAG